UUACAAUCUGUGAAACUGAUCUUCCCGUGAAGAAGCGGGAAUCACGAUACUAGACGAGAAGACCCCAUGAAGCUUCAAACUAACCGCAACUUACUGUAUCCACAGCACCCUAACUACAAGCAAGUAAUGACCACUAGUUUUUGGUUGGGGUAACCGCGGAGUAAAAUAUACCCUCCAUAGUGAAAGGGGCCCCCCCCCCUAAUUCAAGAACCACGCCUCUAAAAAUCAGUAUACUGACAAAUCUGACCCAAAUAUUUGAUCAAUGAACCAAGUUACUCUGGGGAUAACAGCGCAAUCUAUUUUGAGAGUCCGUAUUGACAAAUGGGUUUACGACCUCGAUGUUGGAUCAGGGUACCCCAGUGGUGCAACGCUACUAAA
rnacentral:rRNA from 1 species